AGAGCAGCUCCUUUGGCACCCGCCAUUCAGUAGGUCCUGAGUUCUUGUCCUGCAUCCAAGAAGAAUGAUGUUACGUGGACAACCAGAGGGACCCGGAAGCCCUCACCUCCAGUUGUCCCGCCUUACCGGAUCCAACCAAUGUACAGCUGACACAUAUUGAUUGAUGUCUCAUGUCUCCCUGAAAUGUAUAAAAGCAAGCUGUACCACGACCACCUUGGGCACAUGUCCUCAGUACCUCCUGAGGCUGCGUCUUGGGCGCGUCCUUAACCAUGGCAAAAUAAACUUUCUAAAUUGA